rnacentral:rRNA from 1 species
GACGAACACUGGCGGCGUGCCUAAUACAUGCAAGUCGAGCGAAUCGAUGGGAGCUUGCUCCCUGAGAUUAGCGGCGGACGGGUGAGUAACACGUGGGUAACCUGCCUGUAAGACUGGGAUAACUUCGGGAAACCGGAGCUAAUACCGGAUACUUUCUUUUCUCGCAUGAGGGAAGAUGGAAAGAUGGUUCUGCUAUCACUUACAGAUGGACCCGCGGCGCAUUAGCUAGUUGGUGAGGUAACGGCUCACCAAGGCAACGAUGCGUAGCCGACCUGAGAGGGUGAUGGGCCAAACUGGGACUGAGACACGGCCCAGACUCCUACGGGAGGCAGCAGUAGGAAAUCUUCCGCAAUGGACGAAAGUCUGACGGAGCAACGCCGCGUGAGCGAAGAAGGCCUUCGGGUCGUAAAGCUCUGUUGUUAGGGAAGAACAAGUACGAGAGUAACUGCUCGUACCUUGACGGUACCUAACCAGAAAGCCACGGCUAACUACGUGCCAGCCGCCGCCGUAAUAC